GACGAACGCUGGCGGCGUGCUUAACACAUGCAAGUCGAACGGUGAAGCUCCAGCUUGCUGGAGUGGAUCAGUGGCGAACGGGUGAGUAACACGUGAGCAACCUGCCCCUGACUCUGGAAUAAGCGCUGGAAACGGCGUCUAAUACUGGAUACGAGAAGGGUCCGCAUGGGCACUUUCUGGAAAGUUUUUCGGUUGGGGAUAGGCUCGCGGCCUAUCAGCUUGUUGGUGAGGUAAUGGCUCACCAAGGCGACGACGGGUAGCCGGCCUGAGAGGGCGACCGGCCACACUGGGACUGAGACACGGCCCAGACUCCUACGGGAGGCAGCAGUGGGGAAUAUUGCACAAUGGGCGAAAGCCUGAUGCAGCGACGCCGCGUGAGGGAUGACGGCCUUCGGGUUGUAAACCUCUUUCAGCAGGGAAGAAGCGAAAGUGACGGUACCUGCAGAAGAAGCACCGGCUAACUACGUG
rnacentral:rRNA from 1 species